UUCUGCCUGUUAGAGGGAGGGUCUUCUUUUCUUCUGUUGCCAGAAUUGGGAUCCACACCAGCCCCAUCACCACAAACAGCAGCCCUACGGACACACAGGCAGAGGCUACAGAGUGGGACGCUUCAGACGACUGGAGCAGGAAGAGGAGUCCACCUGCCGCACACAUCAGUGAUCCCAUCACCAACACAAUGAUAGGCUUGUGAAG